CCUACGGGUGGCAGCAGUGAGGAAUAUUGGUCAAUGGGCGAGAGCCUGAACCAGCCAAGUCGCGUGAAGGAUGAAGGAUCUAUGGUUUGUAAACUUCUUUUAUAUGGGAAUAAAGUUAGGAACGUGUUCCUUUUUGUAUGUACCAUAUGAAUAAGCAUCGGCUAACUCCGUGCCAGCAGCCGCGGUAAUACGGAGGAUGCGAGCGUUAUUCGGAUUUAUUGGGUUUAAAGGGUGCGUAGGCGGACUGGAAAGUCAGCGGUAAAAUGGUGAGGCUCAACCUAUUUCCGCCGUUGAAACUGUCGGUCUUGAGUGCGCGAGAGGUAUGCGGAAUGCGUGGUGUAGCGGUGAAAUGCAUAGAUAUCACGAAGAACUCCGAUUGCGAAGGCAGCAUACCGGCGCCCGACUGACGCUGAGGCACGAAAGCGUGGGUAUCGAACAGGAUUAGAUACCCGAGUAGUC
rnacentral:rRNA from 1 species